UUCUUUUGGAUGAUAUUGCGU
rnacentral:piRNA from 1 species